GGACCUUUGAGGAAGUUCAGGUUAUAAGUUGCUUCUCCUGUUCACUCUCAAUCAUUUUAAUUAUUUUUUUUAUUAUAAUAAGUGUAUUUUGCUUCUGAUUGAUGUUUGGAUUAGAACGUGGUUAAAUCUUAUUUGCAAUUGUAUGUAUAUGUUGAUCUGUGUUAUUAUGAUUUUUUUCUGUUUAUCAUUUGAUCUGCUCUUCUGGGUUUUGAGUAAUCUCUGGUGGUUUAAUAUGUGUUGUCCAGUUCCAUGUUUUAUUCUCUGUUUUGUAUAGAGUUGUGUGUAGCUUAUUGAAUGUAAUCAUUUUUAAAAUGAAAUAUCACAGAUAUUAGAGAUUGUGUGGUGUUUCUGAGUUUGUUGCUUUUUGUUUGGAUUCGUUCUGUUUUGCUUUGUGCCUGCCAAUUGUGAAUGUGGGUAGUUUUCCAAGUCCCAACUUUAAUUUGGGUUUUUUACUGUGAAAUUUUGCCUCUAAAUUUUUGUUUGGGAUGUGCUUAAUAAAGAUAGCGGUCAAACGAUGAAUAACGCAAUUCUAGAUAAUUUGUUUGCUUUAUGUGCCUUCUUGCAAGUCUCAGUCGAGGGAAGAGGUUAAAGAAUUGUGAUAAUGUGAUAUGAGGCUCUGCAUCAUAAUGUUGUGGUUAGGAAGUAUAUAGCUGUGGCACUGAGAUAUUUGUUUGUAGGUUGCUUUUGCUGGUUUUGUUGAGGGCCCAACUUGGUAGGCUUAACUGUAAUUGUAUAUAAUGGAAGUAGCCUAAUGCAGACAUAGUAAGGCACACACCUCAUCUAAGUUGUUUCUUAUGUUUUGCUGAAAUUGUGAUAGGUAUUAACAUUUGCUUUAUUGUGCCUAUCCUGAACUCCACCCGGUUUUUGAAAUAUCAUAGCCUAUUGUUGUUUUAAUAAAUUUUCUUUUACUUAUUGGGCUUAUAUAAUUUGAUAAACUUUCUGAUGGUUGCUGCUCAUGGGACUGCACUUGCUAGUGCCAGUUCCAUGGCUUUGCAAACUGGUCAGCCUGUCAAAUAUAUGUUGAUAAUUAGAUCAUAUAAAAUGCCCUUUGGAUCUUGAAUCUUUAAUAUGAC
rnacentral:misc_RNA from 1 species